UACGAAGGGGGCUAGCGUUGCUCGGAAUCACUGGGCGUAAAGCGCACGUAGGCGGAUUGCUAAGUCAGGGUGAAAUCCUGGAGCUCAACUCCAGAACUGCCUUUGAUACUGGCGACCUUGAGUCCGGGAGAGGUGAGUGGAACUGCGAGUGUAGAGGUGAAAUUCGUAGAUAUUCGCAAGAACACCAGUGGCGAAGGCGGCUCACUGGCCCGGUACUGACGCUGAGGUGCGAAAGCGUGGGGAGCAACAGG
rnacentral:rRNA from 1 species